rnacentral:lncRNA from 1 species
UGGAGACCUUAAUAUCUUGAUUGAUCAUCUAGAAGAUCAGGAUAGGUGAAGAUGAGCCACACAAGGUAAAGAUUGUGCAGGAGGAGAAAGGCUAUCAUGGAGUUUUAGUCCAACAAGGACUCCUCAUCAAUGAUUUCAAUCCAGAUCUGAUAGUCUCAAGAUAUCACAUCCCUAGCCUUGGUUCUUAGGGCUUUGGGAGUGGAAGAUCAGAUCUGGAGGUAUAUCCC